UUAUACAGCCAUAUCACUCUGCAACUCACAACUGGCAACCCACUGAAGCUAAGCAGGUGUGAGCCUGUUCAGUACCUGGAUGGGAGACCUCCUGGGAAAAACUAAGGUUGCUGCUGGAA
ensembl:rRNA 5S_rRNA 5S ribosomal RNA